rnacentral:rRNA from 1 species
UCCGUAGGUGAACCUGCGGAAGGAUCAUGUUGUCCAUGGCGGCCGCCCUCGAGAUGCGCCCCAAAGGUUGCUCUCGCUGGGAUGGCUAACCACACCUCUCACAGUGCCAUGCGCACGUUAAACGGACCGAGAGCACUGGCUCCGGCCACGCGGCUCAUCGCUGCGUAUUUCAAACCCUAGUCGUGACUAUCACAUUGUAACAAAAAUUUACAACCAGUAGCACUGGAUCCCUUGGCACGUCAUUCGAUGAAGAACGUAGCAAUCUGCGAUAAGUGGUGUGAUAUGCAAGUCCACAGCUUAUACGUGAACCAUCGAAUCUUUGAACGCACUGCACUAUCCGGACGACACCCCCGUGAUAGUAUGCCCCAUUGAGUGUCAUUUAUCCAUUCGGACGCUUGCGUGUUCACUCGCGCUUUCGGACGAGUUCGAGGUUCACAUCCGUCCAACGGGUGCGCUCCUUGAGAUGCAUUAGCACCGAGUCUGUCUGGUGUCCAUCCUGUGAUGAACUUGCAGGCCAUGACACGGACUAUCCGGCCGGAGCUUAUAGUCGCCCUCGGGCAAAACCGGCGCUCGCGCCAACAUCUCGUACAUGACCUCAGCGGGGUAGGAUUACCCGCUAGACUUAAGCAUAUUAAUCAGCGGAGGAAAAGAAACUAACAAGGAUUCCCCUAGUAACUGCGAGUGAAGAGRGAAGAGCUCAACGUGUGAAUCUGGUUGGGAUUAACCCCCGGUCCAGAGUUGUGCACUGUAGACGUCGGUUUCUGCGCUUGAAUUCUAGUUGUCAGUCCCAAGUCGGAUGAAACACCGCAUCACAGAAGGUCAUAAUCCUGUGUAUGGCUGUGCUUGAAUUUGCGCCAAUGACCGCACGUUCGUAGAGUCGCGUAGUUUUGUAAUGCUGCGCCAAUUGGGAGGUGGAACCCUUCUAAAGCUAAAUAUGAUGACGUGACCGAUAGCAAACAAGUACCGCGAGGGAAAGGUGAAAAGCAACCAUGUAGAAUGCGUUGAAACAGCAGUGAAAGUGCUACUGGGAUAAGGGCUAUUGUCUGCUAGUCUCUAGGAUGCGUGCUUUAGUGCUGCUCCAAGAGCGGCCUGCACUGAUUGGUAUUGGGAGAUACGCCCGGGUCGAAUUCGGCCGGUGACUUGUCAUCGGUGUUGUAGCUUCCCGGAGAGUUGAGCCCACAGCCGAUUAGGAAUGCUUCAUGGCAUGCAGGUCCUGCGGUCAUUAGCCGCCCGUCUUGAAACACGGACCAAGGAGUGCACCUUACAUGCGAGUCAAAGGGACUGUAAUCCCCGAGGCGUAGCGAAAGCGAAGACCGUGAAUGUCCUCGUGGCAGGCGACGGCGCCCACCGAGAGGUGAGGUAGAGCAUGCAGGGUGCGACCCGAAAGAUGGUGAACUAUGCCCGGGUAAGGUGAAGCCAGUGGAAACGCUGGUGGAGGCCUGUAGCGAUUCUGACGUGCAAAUCGAUCGCGCAACCUGGGUAUAGGGGCGAAAGACCUAACGAACCGUCUAAUGGCUGGUUCCCUCCGAAGUUUCCCUCAGGAUAGC